GCGCCCUUAGCUCAAUGGAUAGAGCGUUUGGCUUCGGACCAAAAGGCUCCAGGUUCGAGUCCUGGAGGGCGCA
rnacentral:tRNA from 1 species